GCUAAAUAAAAAGACGAAUCCCUUUUGGCCUCGUCACGAAUUGGAAGAUUCUUUAAAAAGCUAGCAGCCAAUCUGUUUCCUACUAGUGCCUUCACGUGGUUGAACCCAUUAUAACAUUAUAUCUUCUUCUCCUCUCCUUCUUCUUGUAUCCAUUAGAGAGAAACAGAGAGAUGGAACCUCCACCAGCACAAGCCAUAGAGACUUCAACCACCUACCAAGAAGAUGAACAGGACAAAGUCAUCAACGACUGUUGCUCUUGCUGCUUUGACUGCACCGAGACCAUUCUUGAUUACUUGUUCUGCGGUUUCUGUUAGACAUGUGGAUUAGAUUGACUACAAGCUUAAAUUAACUUGUUCCUCUUUCACUAUUCAUAUUAGUGUAUCAAACUUGAUGCUUUAUCUUUAAAUUUGAAGUUUAUUUUCUUCUUUCUUUGA